rnacentral:ncRNA from 1 species
GGCGUAUUUUGCCCAGGCGGAGCUCGACCGCCCGUUCAAGCGAUGAUCGCCUUCAUCGACGAUCACCGUGGGGCCUACGGGGUCGAGCCGAUCUGCCGCCUGCUGCCGAUCGCCCCG